GUGCAUGUUUUGCCUUACAGAGACGAGGUGAGCUUGUUGCUGGUUGCUGCUUUGAAAAAGAAGCACGUGGCCAUCCCUAUGAUAUUGGACUCAAGGUUCGAGAUUGAGAUGUCGCCAUCCCCUGCAGUGGGUGGCAAGUACAAGAAAAAUGAAGACGGAGGACAAGACGUCCACUGUGUCGCUUGUGGAGCAUGCCUGACUGGUUGAAAAGCUGCGGUCGGCAAAGCAGAGGGUGGUGAACCUGGAGCAGCAGCUCCAGAUAGAGAGGACGCUAUCAAGAAGACUGCAGUAGCAGCUGCUGGCACUACUGGUGGACAAUGUCCCGUCUGGCGGUGUUGGGUCAGCUCCUACAGCUUGCCCAGCAGCAGUUCCUGCAGCUGGUGCUCCUGCUCCAGUUCGCGUUGUGCGAGCUGGCGUAGAUGACACUCAACCCGCACCGGCCGCUGAUGCUGCUGUUCCAGCAGCGGUUCUUGUAGCAGGCCCACCGGAGGCACCUCCCGAGUGUAUGCCAGUGCUUGCAGAGGUCGAUGAUGAGUUAAGUUCAGAAUUUCAUUGAAUAUUCAUUUCAGAUAUUGGGCAAGGGACUACAUUUUAUGGUUUCCACAGCUGCUUGAAUGAGGUUAUUUGUCUGCUUCCUUAAAUUGAACCAUCGUUAUGCUUCAAAAUGCUGAUUAAUGUAAAGAGUAGAACCGGGCAUUGAUAAGAUAUUUCUUCCCAAUUAAUCGGCGCUUUUCUGAAACGUUUUCUAUCUGGUGUCCUCGUUUUAUUUCGAGCUUUUUCAUAAAUCGUGUACCACGAGCCCAGAUUAAAAUUCUGUUAUAAUUAGUACCCUUCUUUCGCUCUUUCUCUCUACUCAGAACCCACUUAAACGGACACUUACACUCCCCCAAAGUUUCAUUUUUUGCCAGGCGAUUUAUUAUGGUGCCAGAAAACGCAACUGCUCAGAACCGAAACUGAAACCCGUGCAUGGUGGUCGAAGAAGUGGAGAGGAGUCAGUGAGUGGGAGAGGUCACGUGGCUACACCCGACUGUUCACCUUGGCCAGGGUGUCUUGGUGCAAAAGUACAAACUGUCCUACGUCAGGGGAGCCCGGGGAGACUCCAUCUUCGUUAAAGAGGCCACGAAGCUGAUCUUCGGCAGGGAGGACCUGCAUGGGCCGAGUGUGAGGGGCGCCAUGAGGGCGCUUCAAGGGCACCGUGGCCAAGAGGGCCCUGACUCCAGUCAAGUUGGCAGCAGUCAGCAAUGCCUUCAACGAGUACAUAUGGAGGCAUCCUCGAGAGGCCUCUCCAGGGAAGAGGACAGCUCGGGUCAACCUACUGCAGUAUGCCUAUUUGUUAAUAUCCUACUGCAGGAUAUUAACAAGAAGCUUGACUUCUAAGCUUGCUUAGAGGUUAAGCUUCUUGUUGAUGUUCUGCAGUAUGCCAAUUUGCCUUCACUAAAUAC